rnacentral:rRNA from 1 species
GACGAACGCUGGCGGCGUGCUUAACACAUGCAAGUCGAACGAAGUGGCGAACGGGUGAGUAAUGUGUAAUCACCCUGCCCUUCAGAGGGGGACAAUAGUUGGAAACGUCUGCUAUUACCCCAUACUGAUGGAGGGGAUUGCGUCUGAUUAGCUAGUUGGGGGGGUAAUGGCCCACCAAGGCGAUGAGCAGUAGCCGGUCUGGGAAGAUGAACGGGCACAAUGGGACUGGGGAACGGCCCAGGACCCUACGGGAGGCAGCCAUGGGGAAUCUUCCGCAAUGGAGGAAAGUCUGGAGGAGCAACGCCGCGUGAGUGAUGACGGGCUUCGGGUUGUAAAGCUCUGUUAAUCGGGACGCGGUACCGAAAUAGAAAGCCACGGCUAACUACGUGCCAGCAGCCGCGGUAAUUC